UAUUUAAAACAGUUUAACUCUUUGUGUUUUUUUCUCUUUAUAGUGUCUAGGAUCAUAACCACGAGGUAUUCCUUAAAAGGUCCUUGCCUUCCACUGCUCCAACACUUACCUGGAAUAAAGAGUUUCAUUUCUGUUUUUCAGUCUUAAAUGAAUGAUAUUUUUCACUGAGAAGAGAGAUUUAUUUAAAAGGCAGUUUUUUGUCAACAUCAAAUGAUCUUCAGUUUAGAAGAUAUCUUCAGGGUCCUGUAAGUCUUCAGCUCUCUUGUUCCCCUUUCAUGUCAUAAAUAACAUGCU
rnacentral:lncRNA from 1 species